UUUACGUGAGAUGGUCUGAGCGGAGUGUAUGGCUAGCUUUGGGCUUUAAUCUCUGACUGGCUAGUAUACCAGCAUCUCUUUUCAAGUUUUUUAAAGCACUUACCUCCAAGUAAGACUCAAUUCUCAUUCUAUUGCAUUUGUUUUAUUAUCUUGUGGCAUGUAUUAUUUUUAGGAAUUGUCUUAAGGUUUUUGAAAUUAUAUUUUUCUUUACUGUAGGUAUUCUCCUUCUGGUCUGGAAGCACUCUGAGAAGAAGGGUCUUCUCUGUGUCAUUCACUUUGGGACCCUCAGAGCCUAGAAGACUCAUUAGCACUUAUCUCUGUAUGCUUGAGAGGACAAGGAUCACAUCCUGGACAACUCCUUCAGCCUGAUGCCCAGGAGAUUUGGUGAGCAGACAUUUUUCCAGAAGAUCCCAUAUGCUGAUAACAUUCAAGUAUUUUGCAAGUGGAAAAUUAGGGGGAAAAAAAGUACUCAUGAAUAAAUAAUAGGCAGUACUCAUUCCAGUUUCCUCUGGUGCUUUCUCACUGUCCCAGAUGCAGUAAGGCUAGCCUGAUGAGCUACUUGUGACCAUGAGGGGACUGUAGUUCAGAGAGAGUAAUCACUUUACAUUGGGAUGUGUAAUUUUCCCCUUAAAUUCAUUAAACGUGUCUGAAACAAAUAAAUAAAACAUAAUUGAUACA
rnacentral:lncRNA from 12 species